CCCAGACAGCCAGGAUGUUGGCUUAGAAGCAGCCAUCAUUUAAAGAAAGCGUAAUAGCUCACUGGUCGAGUCGGCCUGCGCGGAAGAUGUAACGGGGCUAAACCAUGCACCGAAGCUGCGGCAGCGACACUGUGUGUUGUUGGGUAGGGGAGCGUUCUGUAAGCCUGUGAAGGUGGCCUGUGAGGGUUGCUGGAGGUAUCAGAAGUGCGAAUGCUGACAUAAGUAACGAUAAAGCGGGUGAAAAGCCCGCUCGCCGGAAGACCAAGGGUUCCUGUCCAACGUUAAUCGGGGCAGGGUGAGUCGACCCCUAAGGCGAGGCCGAAAGGCGUAGUCGAUGGGAAACGGGUUAAUAUUCCCGUACUUGGUGUUACUGCGAAGGGGGGACGGAGAAGGCUAUGUUGGCCGGGCGACGGUUGUCCCGGUUUAAGCGUGUAGGCUGGUUUUCCAGGCAAAUCCGGAAAAUCAAGGCUGAGGCGUGAUGACGAGGCACUACGGUGCUGAAGCAACAAAUGCCCUGCUUCCAGGAAAAGCCUCUAAGCAUCAGGUAACAUCAAAUCGUACCCCAAACCGACACAGGUGGUCAGGUAGAGAAUACCAAGGCGCUUGAGAGAACUCGGGUGAAGGAACUAGGCAAAAUGGUGCCGUAACUUCGGGAGAAGGCACGCUGACACGUAGGUGAAGUGAUUUACUCAUGGAGCUGAAGUCAGUCGAAGAUACCAGCUGGCUGCAACUGUUUAUUAAAAACACAGCACUGUGCAAACACGAAAGUGGACGUAUACGGUGUGACGCCUGCCCGGU
rnacentral:rRNA from 2 species